CUUCAUCUCUAUCUGCUUAUUAUCACCUCUAAAAUGGAAAAUAAUGAGGAAGGGGAGGAAACAGCUCCUUCUAGAAAUGAGUGGGAAGUCGUAUCGCUCAUACAGUCGGCAUAUGCUGCUGCCCCUAAUUCAAGACAGGUUGAUCUUGUUGACGAUAGUAGUGCAGAGUUUGUAGCUGAAACUUCUGAUCCAAUGAUUAUGUCGGGGCACUUUGGCUUUCCACCGAAUCAACAUGAGAAUGCGCCAUUGCAACCAUCUAAUGAUGAGAUUCUGAAUGAGCAGGGAAGUGAAG
rnacentral:misc_RNA from 1 species